CCUACGGGAGGCUGCAGUGAGGAAUAUUGGUCAAUGGACGAGAGUCUGAACCAGCCAAGUAGCGUGAAGGAUGACUGCCCUAUGGGUUGUAAACUUCUUUUAUAUGGGAAUAAAACGUUCCACGUGUGGGAUUUUGUAUGUACCAUAUGAAUAAGGAUCGGCUAACUCCGUGCCAGCAGCCGCGGUAAUACGGAGGAUCCGAGCGUUAUCCGGAUUUAUUGGGUUUAAAGGGAGCGUAGGUGGAUUGUUAAGUCAGUUGUGAAAGUUUGCGGCUCAACCGUAAAAUUGCAGUUGAAACUGGCAGUCUUGAGUACAGUAGAGGUGGGCGGAAUUCGUGGUGUAGCGGUGAAAUGCUUAGAUAUCACGAAGAACUCCGAUUGCGAAGGCAGUUCACUGGACUGAAACUGACACUGAGGCUCGAAAGUGUGGGUAUCAAACAGGAUUAGAUACCCCAGUAGUC
rnacentral:rRNA from 1 species